AUCCAUGGAGGUAUAGAUGGGUAUUCAAGAUUACCGGUCUUCUUGAAAGUCAACAACAACAAUCGUGCCGACACUGUUCUACAUGCUUUCGUAGAGGCUGUUCAUGAGUUCGGCUUACCACAAAGGGUCCGUUCAGACAAAGGUGGAGAAAAUGUCAAAGUUGCCGAGUUUAUGCUGCAGCAUCAAGCAGGAGUACCCAGACCUUUUAUUGCUGGAAGAUCUGUUCACAAUCAGAGGAUUGAGCGAUUAUGGAGAGAGAUAUGGAAUGGCUGUACAAGUCUAUACUACUCAUUGUUCUACAACAUGGAAGACGAGGGAAUUUUAGAUGUAUCCAGUGAGCUACACAUUAUGCUGCUACACUGUGUAUUCUUACCAAGAAUACAAUCCAACUUGGAUAGGUUUGCAGAGGCUUUAAGGAGGAGACCACUGAGGACUGAAAAUAGCAACACUCCUCCAAUUGUGGAUUACAGGACCAUGAAAUGAUUUAGCUGUUCAUGAACAGGGAAAUAUGGAUGCUUAUGGCAUUGACUGUAAGCAGGAUCAAGUAUUGGUGCACCCAGAGACAGUUAUGGUUCCUGAAGGCAUGCCUUUUCCUGAAGAAGUCUUACAACAAAUUCAGCAUAUUCUU